rnacentral:rRNA from 1 species
UACGAAGGGGGCUAGCGUUGUUCGGAAUUACUGGGCGUAAAGCGCACGUAGGCGGACUGUUAAGUCAGGGGUGAAAUCCCGGGGCUCAACCCCGGAGCUGCCUUUGAUACUGGCGGUCUCGAGUCCGGAAGAGGUUAGUGGAAUUCCCAGUGUAGAGGUGAGAUUCGUAGAUAUUGGGAAGAACACCAGUGGCGAAGGCGGCUAACUGGUCCGGUACUGACGCUGAGGUGCGAAAGCGUGGGGAGCAAACAGG